rnacentral:rRNA from 1 species
GCCUCGGCAGAAGUUAUAGGUCUUCUUAUAGCUGCUGCCGGUGGACCAUUAAACUCUUGUUAUUUUAUGUAAUCUGAGCGUCUUAUUUUAAUAAGUCAAAACUUUCAACAACGGAUCUCUUGGUUCUGGCAUCGAUGAAGAACGCAGCGAAAUGCGAUAAGUAAUGUGAAUUGCAGAAUUCAGUGAAUCAUCGAAUCUUUGAACGCACAUUGCGCCCAUUAGUAUUCUAGUGGGCAUGCCUGUUCGAGCGUCAUUUCAACCCUUAAGCCUAGCUUAGUGUUGGGAAUCUACUUCUUUUAUUAGUUGUAGUUCCUGAAAUACAACGGCGGAUUUGUAGUAUCCUCUGAGCGUAGUAAUUUUUUUUCUCGCUUUUGUUAGGUGCUAUAACUCCCAGCCGCUAAACCCCCAAUUUUUUGUGGUUGACCUCGGAUCAGGUAGGAAUACCCGCUGAACUUAAGCAUAUCA